rnacentral:rRNA from 1 species
AUGGAGCAGGAGAGACGCAGAAAUGGAGUUGACUUGAGCCACUCGGAGGGGGAAGAACAAGCUACAAGUGAUGAAGAUGGCCUAAACCAUUCUGCACUUCUGCUUCAGCCAUCGAGAUCAACAAGAAAUAAAUCUAAAUCUUCAAGUGGCCCCAUGGACAAAUACUGUGAAUUAACUCCCGAAGAGCUUGUUGUCGCAAGGAAUAGGAAACGUGGUGCUGACACGAUCCAUGGGAAGCUGACAACUGAGAAGAGAGAACAAAAAAGGGCUCGUGCUUGUGAGUACAUCUGCCAGUGGUUCUAUGAAGCUUGCAUUCCAUUCAACGCAGUCACACUUCCCAGCUUUGACCUCAUGCUUCAGUCAAUUGGACAGUAUGGUGAGGACUUGGACGGUCCUACUCCUUAUGAAAUGGGUGGCCCAAUAUUGAAUAAGAGGAAGAAAAGAGUUCAGGAGUCCUUCAAUGCACACAGGAAGACUUGGGAGCUUACUGGAUGUACAAUCAUGACAGAUGCAUGGACUGGCAUAAGAGGAAGAGGGGUAAUGAAUCUUGUAGUUCAUAGUGCUCAUGGUGUGGUGUUUCUUAAUUCUGUGGACUGUUCAGCCGUGAAGAAAGAUGGGAAGUACAUCUUUGAGCUUGUUGAUAGAUGCAUAGAAGAGGUUGGUGAGAAGCAUGUAGUUCAAGUUGUGACUGAUAAUGCAAGUGCUAAUCAAGCGGCAUCAACCUUGUUGAAAGCAAAAGCGCCCCAACAUAUUUUGGAAUGGUUGUGCUGCCCAUUCUAUUGA